GAUGAACGCUAGCUACAGGCUUAACACAUGCAAGUCGCGGGGCAGCAUGGGGGUUGCUUGCAACCCCUGAUGGCGGCCGGCGCACGGGUGAGUAACGCGUAUCCACCCUGCCCUUCACCACGGGAUAACCCGGCGAAAGUCGGACUAAUACCGAAUGUUGUCCAUUGACGGCAUCCGAUUUGGACGAAAGGCUUGGGGAUGAACGGAUGGGGAUGCGUCCGAUUAGCUUGACGGCGGGGUAACGGCCCACCGUGGCUACGAUCGGUAGGGGUUCUGAGAGGAAGGUCCCCCACACUGGAACUGAGACACGGUCCAGACUCCUACGGGAGGCAGCAGUGAGGAAUAUUGGUCAAUGGGCGUAAGCCUGAACCAGCCAAGUAGCGUGCAGGAUGACGGCCCUAUGGGGUGUAAACUGCUUUUAUGCGGGGAUAAAGUGGCCCACGUGUGGGCUUUUGCAGGUACCGCAUGAAUAAGGACCGGCUAAUUCCGU
rnacentral:rRNA from 1 species